GAACGCUGGCGGCGUGCCUAAUACAUGCAAGUCGAACGGUCUUUCUAUGGAAGCUUGCUUCCACUGAGAAGAUAGUGGCGAACGGGUGAGUAACACGUGGGUAACCUGCCCAUAAGAGGGGGAUAACAUCCGGAAACGGGUGCUAAUACCGCAUAGUUUUCUUGAUCGCAUGAUCGGGAAAGGAAAGACGGCCUUUGUGCUGUCGCUUAUGGAUGGACCCGCGGCGUAUUAGUUAGUUGGUGAGGUAACGGCUCACCAAGACGAUGAUACGUAGCCGACCUGAGAGGGUGAUCGGCCACAUUGGGACUGAGACACGGCCCAAACUCCUACGGGAGGCAGCAGUAGGGAAUCUUCCGCAAUGGACGAAAGUCUGACGGAGCAACGCCGCGUGAGUGAAGAAGGUUUUUCCGGAUCGUAAAACUCUGUUGUCAGAGAAGAACAAGUUGGAGAGUAACUGCUCCAGCCUUGACGGUAUCUGACCAGAAAGCCACGGCUAACUACGUGCCAGCCGCAGC
rnacentral:rRNA from 1 species